rnacentral:rRNA from 1 species
UACGUAGGGAGCAAGCGUUGUCCGGAAUCAUUGGGCGUAAAGCGCGCGUAGGUGGCCUCAUAAGUCCGCUGUGAAAGUCAAAGGCUCAACCUUUGAAAGCCGGUGGAUACUGUGAGGCUAGAGUACGGAAGAGGCGAGUGGAAUUCCUGGUGUAGCGGUAGAAUGCGCAGAUAUCAGGAGGAACACCAAUAGCGAAGGCAGCUCGCUGGGACGUUACUGACACUGAGGCGCGAAAGCGUGGGGAGCGAACAGG